GGAGCCUCUUUUUCCUUAUUCUUCCCGCACCGCACCCUCUUUGCCUCUGCCUUGCGCCCUCUCCUCGCCCCGUCUCCCAGCUCUAUGACGCAGACGCCAUCCCGAUGCUUCCUCUCGCCCCGCCCCACGCCACGCCUCAUUGGAUCCCGGGAGGCAAUCGGGACACCCGGCGGCGGGAAUUAGGGUUGCUGCGGGAUUCAGCUCCGGCUCCAGCUCGCCCAUUGCGCUCGCGCGCGGCCAGGCAGGUGCUGGAAAGGUGAUGCGUCCUCAUGUUCUCAGUACUUGUUAGGUGCAUUGUGGCCAGCUGCUCUUUUCAGACAAUUAACACAGAAGAACUGACAUCACUGGUUAGAAAGACAAGAUUCCAUUCACGACUUGAAGGUCCAGAGAGGUGCACCUCACUCGAUCUCAGUAUUUACAUUUCACUACAUUAUAUACAGUCACCCAACAGUUGCUAGGCGCCCAAAUUUGCCAGCA